CUGACCUCAAGUGAUCCACCUGCCUUGGCCUCCCAAAGUGCUGGGAUUACAGGUGUGAGCCACCACGCUCAGCUCAAAGCAUGGACUUUGAAUCUUGAUUGUAGCACCUACAUCCUGUAUCACCCUUAGGCAAGUUAUUUACUCUGAGUCUCAGUUUCUUCAUCUGUAAAAUAGGAACCAAUUGUAGAAAUCUCUCAGGAGUACUAGGAUUAAACAAAAUGUAUCCAAAGUGCCUGGCACAUAGGGUGGAUUUCCCACCCCAUAUGUCCCCAAAUAUAUGGGGCACUAAAGAAUAUUUCUUCCACAUCAAGUAUAGGGUGAGGCAAAAGAUGCUAUGUGGUUGAACAACAGAAACAACUUGAGCCACCUCUAAAUAAGUGUGACUUAUUACAGUUUUAGUUUGUUUUUAUUUUUUUAUUAUACUUUAAGUUUUAGGGUAUAUGUGCACAACGUGCAGGUUAGUUACAUAUGUAUACAUGUGACAUGCUGGUGUACUACACCCACUAACUCGUCAUCUAGCAUUAGGUAUAUCUCCCAAUGCUAUCCCUCCCCCCUUCCCCCACCUCACAACAGUCCCCAGAGUGUGAUGUUCCCCUUCCUGAGUCCAUGUGUUCUCAUUGUUCAGUUCCCACCUAUGAGUGAGAAUAUGCGGUGUUUGGUUUUUUGUUCUUGGCGAUAGUUUACUGAUAAUGAUGAUUUCCAAUUUCAUCC
rnacentral:lncRNA from 1 species